CUGCGGUAAUUCCAGCUCCAUUAGUGUAUGUUAAAGUUGUUGCAGUUAAAAAGCUCGUAGUUGGAUUUCUGAUUCGCGUGGCCUGGCCCAACGACCUUUGUGUCGUUGUUGGCUGGUUUGGGGCGAGUACGGGGGCCUCUGUUACCCGAUCUUUUUCGUUGGCGACGGGGUUUUCUUUCCUGCGCUUGUCCUAGCUUCGCAAUCAUCCUUCAGAAGAAUCGGUCUGCUCUUAACUGAGUUUUCGGGCCGAUGGACUCUGAUCGUUUACUUUGAAAAAAUUAGAGUGUUCAAAGCAGGCAUUGUUGCUGUGAAUAUCUUAGCAUGGAAUAAUAAGAUAGGACUUUGGCCCCGCUGGGUCGCCUGUGGUCGCUUCUCUUGCCUCCGGGUGAGGUUGAGGCCCGAGACCCGGUUCUAUUUUGUUGGUUUAUAGAGCCAAAGUAAUGAUUGAUAGGGAUAGUUGGGGGUGCUAGUAUUGCUUGGCCAGAGGUGAAAUUCUUGGAUUCAAGCAAGACUAACUUAUGCGAAAGCAUUCACCAAGGAUGUCUUCUUUAAUCAAGAACGAAAGUUGGGGGAUCGAAGACGAUCAGAUACCGUCGUAGUCUCAACCAUAAACUAUGCCGACUGGGGAUUGGGCGACGUUGGAUAGGACUCGCUCAGCGCCCUAUGAGAAAUCAAAGUCUUUGGGUUCCGGGGGGAGUAUGGUCGCAAGGCUGAAACUUAAAGGAAUUGACGGAAGGGCACCACCAGGCGUGGAGCUUGCGGCUUAAUUUGACUCAACACGGGAAAACUUACCAGGUCCAGACAUAACAAGGAUUGUCAGAUUGAAGAUCUUACUUGAUUUUACGGGUGGUGGUGCAUGGCCGUUCUUAGUUGGUGGAGUGAUUUGUCUGGUUAAUUCCGUCAACGAACGAGACCUCAGCCUGCUAACUAGUAGUGCUUAUCCUUUCCUUGGACUUGCCCUCGUGGCUCGUCCGCUUGGAUAGGUCGAAUUUCAUUCUACUUCUUAGAGGGACUAUCCGUGUCUAGCGGAUGGAAGUUUGAGGCAAUAACAGGUCUGUGAUGCCCUUAGAUGUUCUGGGCCGCACGCGUGCUACACUGGUGCGUUCAACGAGCUUACAACCUGGACCGGUAGGUCUGGGUAAUCUUUUGAAAGCGCACCGUGAUUGGGAUAGAUGAUUGCAAUUGUUCAUCUUCAACGAGGAAUGCCUAGUAAACGCAAGUCAUCAGCUUGCAUUGAUUACGUCCCUGCCCUUUGUACACACCGCCCGUCGCUCCUACCGAUGGAACGAUCCGGUGAAAACUUUGGA
rnacentral:rRNA from 1 species